AGGAUUGAAAAUAUCAUCAAAGUAAAAGAUUUAAUGGAUGCAGAAGAAAGGCAAGUCAAGGUGAAAAGAGACUCGGAGAUUUACAACAUUAACAGAUCAAACCCUUAUCAAAGAGAAUUGUCAUUAUUAAGGAACAGAGUUUUUUGCCUUAUCUUCAUCUUUUAUCUAAUUUAAGUAAAUUGUUUUAGCAGUAAAAUUAGAAUGAGAAAGACGUUGUUAAUGGUAAUGAAGAUUGUUACAUGGAAAUUGUCUGGACCUGCUUUUGCCUGGAAAUUAAAGAC